GAUGAACGCUGACAGAAUGCUUAACACAUGCAAGUCUACUUGAAGCACUUUCGGGUGUGGAUGGUGGCGGACGGGUGAGUAACGCGUAAAGAACUUGCCCCUUAGUCUGGGACAACUGUUGGAAACGACAGCUAAUACUAGAUAUUAUGGAGUCUUGGCAUCAAGAUUUUAUGAAAGCUAUAUGCGCUAAGGGAGAGCUUUGCGUCCUAUUAGCUAGUUGGUGAGGUAACGGCUCACCAAGGCGACGAUAGGUAGCCGGCCUGAGAGGGUGAACGGCCACAAGGGGACUGAGACACGGCCCUUACUCCUACGGGAGGCAGCAGUGGGGAAUAUUGGACAAUGGACCAAAAGUCUGAUCCAGCAAUUCUGUGUGUUUGAUGAAGGCCUUCGGGUUGUAAAGAACUUUAAGUAGGGAAGAAGAAAGUGACGGUACCUACAGAAUAAGCGACGGCUAAAUACGUGCCAGCAGCCGCGGUAA
rnacentral:rRNA from 1 species